ACACAUGCCAAUCUAUCUACUGCU
rnacentral:siRNA from 1 species